CGAACUCCCUGCACGGCCUCUCUUGCGUCCAUCCGCCCUAGCUGAGUUGCCCGGGAGCCGGAGGGGAGGGCGGCGCGACGCGGACCCAGUCCACGGCCGCUCGGCCGCUGCGCUAAGACGGACCGCGCCCGCUGAGGCCCCGGCUGCCCGUGGGGCCUCGGGCCAGAUGCAGAGGAGGCCAGAAGGAUGACAGUAGCAACAAGACAGAAGAUGCCUAGGCCCACGGAUCAACCACAUGGAGAAUAGCUGUCUGCUGUUCAGCAACACUUGCACUGGACUAUUACAUGGGUGUUAAGGCCAAAAUACCAAGUUUGAGACCAAGAUUUUUCCAUCCCAAACUGAAAACAAAACAAAACCAAUAAAAGCCUAAGUUGCAUUCCAUUUCGAUACUUCCACUUACUCCAACUCCCAGAAGACUGAAUCUUCGCAGUGAAUCACUGUUCUGGAUCCUGAUUUUGCUUCACUUCACUAAC